CAACCAUCAAGCCCCGGGCUUGUGUUGGGGCCCUGCGGCUGCCGCAGGCCCUGAAAACCAGUGGCGGGCUCGCUAGUCACUCCGAGCGUAGUAGUUUUACACCUCGCUCAGGGCGUGCUGCGGGUUCCGGCCGUUAAAAGCCUUAUUUUACCCAA
rnacentral:misc_RNA from 1 species